UCUGUCAUCACUAGUUCGUGUACUACUCCGCAAACUAAGCUGACGCCGGCGAGGUGGCUGAUGGUAGCGAUAGUAAAUGGGAAAUGCCUUUACGCUCGUUCCCGUCAGCCACCGCCAACUGUCAGCUUGGUUUUCACGAGUAAUAUUACGGCCCAAGUGACCGCUUGGUUUUCACGAGUAAUAUUACGGCUCAACGAACUGUGUUUGUUCGUUCCGAGCUUCCUUUGUUCACACGCAUGCUCCACAUGACUGCCAUCUGGCGGUCAUAAUCAUUCGGCACGACUCGGCAUGAUUCGGAAGUUGCCUUCGAAAAAUAGCGUACUAAGAAUCGAUGAAUCGUUGGAACUUGGAAUCGUCACGACUCGGAAACACGCAAUCGUUCUUACGAUUCUUUUGAACGACGAUUCGUCCGUAUCACGAUUCGAUUCUUACGAUUCUUUAUUUAGAGUCGUUCAAAUGAACGACUCAUUCACGAAUCGCCACAACUCUACUCCGCACUCUACCACUGCGAUAUCUGCCACUUCUGCUACUUCCGCGAUUUCUGUGACUGCUGGGAUUUCUGCGACUCACCACUGUAUGAAAAAGUUACAUGUGUCCACACAGAAAAUUGCAUCUCAACAAACCUGUCAUUGGUACGCGAACUACAUUUCAGUCACUCAGUAAAGUGAUAACUCAAAAUAUCAUUGUCAACAGAUCUGGAGAAAUUGCCACUGCGUCUUUAGACCGUUUUCGUCAGACGAGAGACACAGUUCUGACUCUGAUUACUGGUUGCUGUACGUAUCUAUCCACAUCAAGGCUGUUGAGAGAGACUCGUGAAGAUUCAAGACAGCUCUUAGAAGAUUUUGCAGUUUAAAAGUGACAUAAUUGUGAAAUAAGUGUGCAGAUGAGUGAUUAAACUGUCUUUUAUUGAA